rnacentral:rRNA from 1 species
GCACAAGCAGCGGAGCGUGUGGUUUAAUUCGAUGUUACACGAAGAACCUUACCAGGGUUUGACAUGCAAGUGGUAGGAAGCCGAAAGGUGACCGACCCUUCGGGGAGCUUGCACAGGUGCUGCAUGGCUGUCGUCAGCUCGUGUCGUGAGAUGUUCGGUUAGGUCCGCUAACGAGCGCAACCCUCGCUGUGUGUUAUAUGUGUCACACGGGACUGCCGGUCUUAAGCCGGAGGAAGGUGGGGAUGAUGUCAAGUCAGCAUGGCCUUUAUAUCCUGGGCUACACACACGCUACAAUGGCCAACACAAUAGGUUGCUAAGCCGCGAGGUGGCGCCAAUCCAUAAAGUUGGUCUCAGUUCAGAUUGUAGGCUGCAACCCGCCUGCAUGAAGAUGGAGUUGCUAGUAACCGCAGGUCAGCUAUACUGCGGUGAAUACGUUCCCGGGGCUU